rnacentral:rRNA from 1 species
GAUGAACGCUGGCGGCGUGCCUAAUACAUGCAAGUCGAGCGAACGGACGAGACGCUUGCUUUUCUGAUGUUAGCGGCGGACGGGUGAGUAACACGUGGAUAACCUACCUAUAAGACUGGGAUAACUUCGGGAAACCGGAGCUAAUACCGGAUAAUAUUUUGAACCGCAUGGUUCAAAAGUGAAAGACGGUCUUGCUGUCACUUAUAGAUGGAUCCGCGCUGCAUUAGCUAGUUGGUAAGGUAACGGCUUACCAAGGCAACGAUGCAUAGCCGACGUGAGAGGGUGGUCGGCCACAUGAGAAGGGAGCCACGGUCCAGACUACUACGGGAGGCAGCAGUAGGGAAUGUUCCGCAAUGGGCGAAAGCCUGACGGAGCAGCGCCGCGUGAGUGAUGAAGGUCUUCGGAGCGUAAAACUCUGUUAUGAGGGAAGAACAUAUGUGUAAGUAACUGUGCACAUCUUGACGGUACCUAAUCAGAAAGCCACGGCUAACUACGUG